UUUAUGGAGAGUUUGAUCCUGGCUCAGGAUGAACGCUGGCGGCGUGCCUAAUACAUGCAAGUCGAGCGAACAGACGAGGAGCUUGCUCCUCUGACGUUAGCGGCGGACGGGUGAGUAACACGUGGAUAACCUACCUAUAAGACUGGGAUAACUUCGGGAAACCGGAGCUAAUACCGGAUAACAUGUUGAACCGCAUGGUUCAACAGUGAAAGACGGUCUUGCUGUCACUUAUAGAUGGAUCCGCGCU
rnacentral:ncRNA from 1 species